rnacentral:ncRNA from 2 species
AAACCAUCCAGAGCGACGGAGAGACUUGGCUCGUCGAAGUUGCAGCAACCCCCAAAUCUUUGGUGCGGGUGCUACCGCCAAGACCGAUGGAGG